ACUGGCUGAGCGCUGCCCUGUGCCUGCUCUAUUCGGGAGGACUCGUUUUUUUGCCAGCGCGGAGGCCCCCCACUUCGUUCCACACCCUGUGAGCAAGGGCUGGGGCUGGCAACGCGACUGCAGCGCUGGCUGGGGCCGAACCCGGCUGUGCGGGGCCGGGAAGCGUGUGCGCGGCGAUCCCCGCCCGGCCGGCUGCCUCCACGCUGGGGCUGGGAACGGGGACACGAAACAUGUCUGUGCAGCUUCAAGGAGCCGAGCAGAAUUCCCCGCUGUCAUCAUCCUCCUCCCCUCCCUCCCUGCGGGCUGCCAGCAGGGAGGGCCGAUCACAGCCCCGCUAUUGUUCAAGUAACCUACAAAUGGAUUUGCAUGGAGGCAGGUUGGGAGGGGCGGAGGGGUGGGAUUUAUUAGCAGCGGCUAAAUUCGUCGGGAUUACUAUUAGGCCGAGAGCUUCUCAAUGGGCAUGAUCCCUGGGCGAGCGGUGCGGUGGCGGGGAGGCGUUGGAAAGCUCCUUUUCUGCAGAUGGGCGAAGGGGCGUCCGGUGGGAGGCAGGGGAGGCAGGCAGGGCACAGCUGGCUGCGGGCGCUUCACCUCGGCACGGGCUGUAACCUCCAUUCCGAGCACGCAGCUCCUGGCAGCGCCGCUCAUACCAAAGCCUUGACUCAGGCUUAUCUGCAUGCUGGGUAAUGAGCAGCGUCACCAGAGGAAUGUGCAGAGAAAGCAGCCAUGCUGCUGCAAGCCUCCGCUCGCUCCUCGGCCGAACUGCCGAUUUAGCAGCCUGCCUCUGUGUGACCGGUUGGAGGUGGGGGCCUCAGUCUGGGGGGAGGCCCUGAGUCUGCUUUGAAGCCAAAACAGGGUUUUGCCCUUCCAUAAUUGCUCCACGAAGAACUCAGACUGCACUGAUAAGAAAGGCCAGUUGGUGCAUCUAUUUUAUCCCACCUCCUUCAGCGAAAGAUUAUUUCGAGUAUCUUAUCAGAAAGAAGCAGCCUUUCAAAAGCUGUACCUUGAGGAGUGCCCAGAGUGGUGAUCCAUUCCAGCUCCAGCAGCAGACCCUGUGGAUGUCCCUCCACCUCAUCUCUGGGAACAGAGUUAGUGAUGUUCCCUGGCUGUUUGGUUGCUAUAAAUGAGGACAUUCUCCCCGAAUGCAAGUCAGCCCAGAUGCAGUGCCUGCAUGUCUGGAGUCAGUCUCAGCAUGGUCAGAACAAGAACCAAACAGCUCCACGAUUUGUGCUGCACACAGAGGCCUCUCUCACUGGGGAGCUGCUCUGCACUGCGAUUCUCACCCUCUGCACCGGCAGCAGUAGUGUCCAGACAUGCAGACAAACAUUUGAGGGUGACUUUUUUAGCUCCAUCAGUGCAGGGCUAAGCCUGCCCAAACUGCCUUCUACCAGCCCAGCAACAGUCCCAGCCCACGUGUCAGCAAAUGCUAUAGGAAUCUCUUCUGCUGAGGUGCAGGCUGCAGUUCCUGGUGCUUUUGUUGACUCUGUAGGAGGAGUGUCCGGUCUGCUGCUGUGGUUUUUUUUCUGUGUUGUUUUUUUUCAGCAGCAGACAAACAGCAUCUCCAUCUUUCCUCCUCACAGCAGAAGAAUCCAUUGAGAUAUAUCUAACUAUUGGUUUUGUCAUUAUCUUUUAUGUAGCUGCCCCAGUUUUCUCUUAGAAAUUCAGUCCAUUUGCCUGUCAGCAUGCUCUGUGGUGCACAAGCUUCUGGUUUACUUUCCCCAAGGAUUAUUCUGUUUCAGCAUUCCAAAUUAUCUGAGACAGCAGUUCAUCCUCCUCUGAGCACCUAGCUAGAGGGGGACGAGCCGAAGGGUCCUGUCUGCUACAACAAGACAAAGCACACAAGCUUACCUGUUUCAUUUGCUGCCACUAUCGAGUCCUUUCUGUAAUUCCUCUGACUCCUUCCUUGCUGGGCCUGAUAAUCUCACAGAGCUGGUUUACUCCAUGUCUACGGGUCCUUAAAGGGGCAGGUUAGACUUAGCACUGUUUGCAAAUACAUCAAGGAAGAUUUGUCUAUGGUAUAUAAGCGUACAGUCUCCUACAAAAACACUUUUUUCCUGUUUGGAAAUUUGUGAGGUUAAAUUAGAUAUGUGUGCAGAACAAACUCUGAAAGGCUCUGAGCACUCUCCGCAUAUAAUUGUCUAAGUGGAAGCGCGGUAGAUGUUAGGAUUAGCGUGAAGUACAUCAUACCUGGGACAGAGGAACCACUGUGAUGCUUUGCUUCCACAGCUUGAAAUACAUAUUACUUACAGAUGUUCUUACAUUCUUGGCCCUUACGGCUUUCCAGUGCUUCUUAACACACUCCUGAGCUUACAGAGGUGGUGCUGACUAGCUGCAGUACUUCUUUUCCUAACAUAAAUGAAGUUGUUGAGUGUGGCAAGGGAUAGUUUCUGUCAAGAGAGAUCAAGGAAUGGAAAUGUUCCUCUUCUGGGAUGUGUGUCAAGGUGUUCCAGAGACCCUUAGCCUAAAAUAGAGGAUGAAGUAAGAACAAAUGCCAGAGGCAAAGGCAAGAAAGGAGAAGUAGGCAAGCUCAAUAUUUCAGCAGGUGGGCAGGAAAAUGAAAAUGAGACAUGCAGACUUUUCUGGUUUUAAAUGCUUGAGAGCUGCUCAGAAACUAUUGUGAUGGGGUCAUUUAUAAACCUGGGCAGGCAAAUAGGAGUCAAAUGGUUGCGUAGUUAUGAGCAGCAAAACUUUCCAGAGCAGCGAAGGCUGGAAAUAACAUAAAUAAGGUAGUUGGGCAAUAGGUCACGGG
ensembl:lncRNA